CAGUCUGCAUGGAGCCGACCUUGAAAUACCACCCUUUAAUGUUUGAUGUUCUAACGUGGACCCGUGAUCCGGGUUGCGGACAGUGUCUGGUGGGUAGUUUGACUGGGGCGGUCUCCUCCUAAAGAGUAACGGAGGAGCACGAAGGUUGGCUAAUCCUGGUCGGACAUCAGGAGGUUAGUGCAAUGGCAUAAGCCAGCUUGACUGCGAGCGUGACGGCGCGAGCAGGUGCGAAAGCAGGUCAUAGUGAUCCGGUGGUUCUGAAUGGAAGGGCCAUCGCUCAACGGAUAAAAGGUACUCCGGGGAUAACAGGCUGAUACCGCCCAAGAGUUCAUAUCGACGGCGGUGUUUGGCACCUCGAUGUCGGCUCAUCACAUCCUGGGGCUGAAGUAGGUCCCAAGGGUAUGGCUGUUCGCCAUUUAAAGUGGUACGCGAGCUGGGUUUAGAACGUCGUGAGACAGUUCGGUCCCUAUCUGCCGUGGGCGCUGGAGAACUGAGGGGGGCUGCUCCUAGUACGAGAGGACCGGAGUGGACGCAUCACUGGUGUUCGGGUUGUCAUGCCAAUGGCACUGCCCGGUAGCUAAAUGCGGAAGAGAUAAGUGCUGAAAGCAUCUAAGCACGAAACUUGCCCCGAGAUGAGUUCUCCCUGAGACUUUAGGUCUCCUGAAGGAACGUUGAAGACGACGACGUUGAUAGGCCGGGUGUGUAAGCGCAGCGAUGCGUUGAGCUAACCGGUACUAAUGAACCGUGAGGCUUAACCUUACA
rnacentral:rRNA from 2 species